UGGACCCCGAGGAUUGCGGAGGCAAGGG
rnacentral:piRNA from 1 species